UAGUAGAACAACUCUAGAGGAAAAGCUGGGCCGGAAAAGUGGGAACCUCUAGGGCGCCGCCCUGUUGCUACUGGUCAAUGUGGCCAGCGCAAUUACUAUUGAAAGAGCUGAAAACAAGUACAGGUCACCGUAUGCUUUGUCAUCUAAAAACGCAUACCUGAGGUUUUAUGAAGGUGGUGGGUUAAUAUUAAGUUUACAGAAAGCGAUCACUAAGUCCGUGACUUAUGUAAAUCACGAACUACGCAUUCAUUUAAUAAAGGAUGACGCGAAUUUCGGUUUCGAAUCUGUUUUUUGGAUGCGUAGUAGUUUCGUACAGUUUAGGUUUGACAUGCGAUCGCGCGUCGACAUCGGACGCUAUGGCACACUCGUGCCUUCUGUGCCACCGAAGCCCCGAAGUGCCCAGGCAUAUACCUUCACAUAUAUGCAAUGGCAAGCCCUUCCGUGUGUUCCAAAGGUAAAAUUUAAGCUCGAAAUUAAAGAAGACAUUUCUAGUCAGAAACAAGCAAAAAUGGUGAAUGCAGAGUAUCAGAAGCCCAAGGUACAGAAAUUAUGAGAAUUAAGUGUCGAAUGAUUUUAAGGAAAGAAUGGUAUUUGAAGAUGCAAGAUUCUUUAGUGGAAAUCAAGCAAGUCAGUAUAGGUAGAAUACUCUGAGAAAUUAUGCGAGUAAUGGGAUAGCACACAAUGGGUCAGGAAAUGCGUUGUUUUUCUGAAAAACUAAAGCUGAUGACUGUCAUAUCAUGAGUCACUUUAGCAUCAUGAGACUGCUGUUUGAUAAAUUCAGAAACAAACCAAAAAGCAAGCCAUACAAAAAUAAAAAAAAAACUAUUUAAUGAUGCUCUCUCCACACUGGGAUAAAUAAUAAGAAACGGAUCACGUCUAAUGUGGACAUAUCAGACACCUUGUGAAACACUAAAGGAAAAAUUCAGUUUCGAGCUAUGGCACUUGCCGCAUAGAUGUGGGGGGCCUUGCACCAAUAGUAAUAGUUACCACUGCAUCUAGAAAUUUAAAGCAUUCAUGCAGACAAGGAUGAUUCUUUAUAUUUUUGGCUACCACUUCAAAUGCCUCCACUAAGUGUUACAAUGCUGCACGCAGCCAUACUAAGGAUCUCACAGCAACACUUGCAGGUAAACAGCAAAAGCAGUCAAAGUGCUGGUGUAUUCUGCACACUGUCUUUGAAAACUUUUAGGCAAGAACAGUGCAAGAAACAGACAUAAGAACUGCAUUUAUUUCUAUAAUACCCCAUUUGAAUGGCCUUUUCUUUUUCCUUCGACAAUGCCUUCGCCUAGCCACAGCACCUCCCUCAAUACAGACUCCGCAAGCCAAGAGGCCGUGGAGGCAAAUGCAGGCAAGAGGCAAGAAGCAAUAGCACUGGUAUCGACAUUCAUCUAAUUUCUUUCUUUUUCUUUCGUUUAGACAGCCAGCACACCUCGAACAGCCACCUUGACUGCGGGUGUGUCACCCUAGUCGCCAAGGAAACAUUUGAGGGAAAGCGACAGGCAAUGUGAACAGCCACUUCUCCAUGUAAACGAUACUCUUUCUCUCGGAUGACUCCUACGUUCGCCACGCCAGCACACUUGUGCACAAAGAUGCCGCGGAGGCACGUGCAGGUCAGAGGCAAGAAGCAGUGGCACUGGUGUCGACAUUCGCCCAAUUUCUUUUUCUUACACUGAGGCAGCCAGCACACAUCGAACAGCCACCUUAACUGCGGGUGUGUUAGUAGAUUCCUGUUGUACAUAUGCUCAUAAUAAACUUCAGUAAACUUGAACUUGAUAAUAAACUUGAAGGCAAAUGGGA